GCUUGUGUGAGUAUUAUCAUUAUGGGCUUGCAUCUGCUCUGUACACUCAUUUCAUUUCUCCUAUUCGCAGAUAUGCAGAUGUUGUGGUGCAUAGGUUGCUAGCUGCUGCUCUAGAUAUUGCGAAACUUCCACCAGUCUUCCAGGAUGGUCCGCAACUCACAGGCAUCGCUGACAGUGAGUGAUCCAAUGUACUACUGAAGUGGGUCUUUAUAUGUUUUGCAACAUUUGAUACUGACAUUAUUAUCAUAUCAGACUUGAAUUAUAGGCACCGAAAUGCCCAAAUGGCAAGCAGAGCAUCGGUUGAGCUCGACGCUCUCAUAUAUUUCAGGACAAGGCCUGUGGAUACUGAAGCUAGAAUAGUAAAGAUCAAGGCAAAUGGUUUCAUAGUCUUCGUACCGAAGUAUGGAUCUCUCUUCACAGCCCCC